AUUGAACGCUGGCGGCAGGCCUAACACAUGCAAGUCGAACGAGCGGCGGACGGGUGAGUAAUGUCUGGGAAACUGCCUGAUGGAGGGGGAUAACUACGGGAAACGGUAGCUAAUACCGCAUACCAUCAGAUGUGCCCAGAUGGGAUUAGCUAGUGGGUGGGGUAAAGGCUCACCCAGGCGACGAUCCCUCGCUGGUCUGAGAGGAUGACCAGCCACACUGGAACUGGGCCACUGUCCAGACUCCUACGGGAGGCAGCAGUGGGGAAUAUUGCACAAUGGGCGCAAGCCUGAUGCAGCCAUGCCGCGUGUAUGAAGAAGGCCUUCGGGUUGUAAAGUACUUUCAGCGGGGAGGCGUUACCCGCAGAAGAAGCACCGGCUAACUCCGUGCCAGCAGCCGCGGUAAUUC
rnacentral:rRNA from 1 species